rnacentral:rRNA from 1 species
AUUGGAGUCUGCAACCCGACUCCAUGAAGCUGGAUUCGCUAGUAAUCGCGCAUCAGCCACGGCGCGGUGAAUACGUUCCCGGGCCUUGUACACACCGCCCGUCAAGCCAUGGGAGGCCGGGGGUGCCUGAAGGCCGUGACCGCGAGGAGCGGCCUAGGGUAAAACUGGUGACUGGGGCUAAGUCGUAACAAGGUAUC